ensembl:snRNA U1 U1 spliceosomal RNA
UGACUUCCCUGGUGGGGGAAUAACAUAAUCACCAAGGCAGUUUUCUCAGGGCCAGGCUUAUCCAUUGCACUCUGGAUGUGCUGACUCCUAUGAUUUCUCCAAAUGUGGGAAACUUGACUGGAUAAUUUGUGGUAGUGGGGGACCACAUUCAUGCUGUCACCUG